AACGUAGGACACAAGCGUUAUCCGGAGUUACUGGGCGUAAAGGGCGUGUAGGCGGACCUAUAAGUCUAUUCUGAAAGCUCCUGGCUAAACUGGGAGAGGCGAAUGGAGACUGUAGAUCUAGAGUGAGGAAGAGGAAAGUGGAAUUCCGCGUGUAGUGGUGAAAUGCGUAGAGAUGCGGAGGAACACCAGUGGCGAAAGCGACUUUCUGGUCCUUAACUGACGCUGAGACACGAAAAGCGUGGGUAGCAAACAGG
rnacentral:rRNA from 1 species